rnacentral:misc_RNA from 1 species
UCUCCGUAGGUGAACCUGCGGAGGGAUCAUUACUGAGUGAGGGCUUCGGUCCGACCUCCAACCCUUUGUGAACCAAACUUGUUGCUUCGGGGGCGACCCCGCCGUUUCGGCGGUGGCGCUCCCGGUGGCCAAUUAUUAAACUCUGCAUCUCUUGCGUCGGAGUCUUAAAGAAAUUUAAACAAAACUUUCAACAACGGAUCUCUUGGUUCUGGCAUCGAUGAAGAACGCAGC